CCCAUACCUUUUAUUUUUUUUCAUUCCCUUCCUCUCUCUCUCGUUCCCUGCCUCCUCUCCUCCAGUGUAACCCUAACCCAGCGCAGCCGAGCCUCCUCUCUCUCUCGCUGGGUCUUCAACUUCAAUCGCUCUGUCUCUCUCAAUCUCUCGGGCGACCCACGACGGCCCGACCCUUUUCCCUUAUCCCUCUCCUCUGUACUCUGGACCCUCUCUCCUUCCUUCCCAACUCCGCCGCUCUUCCGCUUCGUCUUCUUCCUUCACAGCGACCUGCAAGUGUCGCCAUCUCACUCGUCGUCACUGAUUUGCUCUCAGUUUCUCACCGCCAUGACCUGUGACCCACGACCUCUUGCUGUUUCGAGUCUCGACCCACUACUUCGUUCCUUUGCAAGGGAACUCAAAUUAUUAAUGAAUCUGAGGAUCAGGACACGACCGAUUUGCAUAAGUGUAUAGCAUACAUAUGUGACUCGGCACCAAACCUAGAUAAGUCUAAUUCUUCUGUUGAAGGCCCUCAUUGUGGACUCAUACCCAUUGGGAUGCCAUCUGGAAGUACUACAACCACUGGACUUCAAUGGGAUCUCGCUGAAACGGAGAUGAGGUUUGGUGGUCUGAUAAGUACAUCGAAUAUCGUCAAGGGAGAGAAAAUAACAGUGCAGUCAGAUUCAGAUCUUCUAUGGACUAUAAGCAUUAAAAAGAUGUAGUGCAUUUGGAGAUGAGAUGGGCAAAACGAUUUGAGUUUUUUUAGAGAGAGAGAGAGAGAGAGAGCGGCUUUUUGAUGAUUUCAGCGAGUAAAUGCUGUAAGGAAGAAAUACAGAAUGAUAAAGUGUUGAUGCUAGCACAGGAGAAAAAAAUGGCACUCUGUGAUAUCUGUGGUUCAUUUCUUGUGGCCAAUGAUGCUGUAGAGAGAACUCAGUCUCAUGUUACAGGGAAACAGAAUGAUAAAGUGUUGUGGUUGUUUUGCAUUUUUUGGAUGAAAAAAAAAAAAAACC